rnacentral:rRNA from 1 species
GUGCCAGCCGCCGCGGUAAUACCGGCAGCCCGAGUGAUGGCCGAUCUUAUUGGGCCUAAAGCGUCCGUAGCUGGCUGCGCAAGUCCGUCGGGAAAUCCACCUGCUCAACAGGUGGGCGCCCGGUGGAAACUGUGCAGCUUGGGACCGGAAGGCUCGAAGGGUACGUUCGGGGUAGGAGUGAAAUCCUAUAAUCCCGCACGGACCACCGAUGGCGAAAGCACUUCGAGAAAACGGAUCCGACAGUGAGGGACGAAAGCCAGGGUCUCCAACCGGAUUAGAAACCCCUGUAGUCC